rnacentral:misc_RNA from 1 species
CUUUUAUUCACGUCUAAAGAGUGUUUAAAGAACAAGAAUAAGUUUCUUCCUUUACAGACACUUCAUAUAGCUUCAACUUCUAGCUCCUACGGAGAAUAAAUUUUUUUAAAAAAGAAACAAAAUAUUUCCUGUUCCUGUAAAAAGCAAACCCAUCAAAAUCCUUCCUUUCUUUUUUUUUAAAAAAAACUGCAUUGUAGUAAGCAAUUAUAAUUAAUGGCUUCCACAAGUAACC